rnacentral:rRNA from 1 species
GAUGAACGCUGGCGGCGUGCCUAACACAUGCAAGUCGAGCGAUUCUCUUCGGAGAAGAGCGGCGGACGGGUGAGUAACGCGUGGGUAACCUGCCUUGUACACACGGAUAACAUACCGAAAGGUAUGCUAAUACGAGAUAAUAUACUUUUAUCGCAUGGUAGAAGUAUCAAAGCUCCGGCGGUACAGGAUGGACCCGAGUCUGAUUAGCUAGUUGGUAAGGUAACGGCUUACCAAGGCGACGAUCAGUAGCCGACCUGAGAGGGUGAUCGGCCACAUUGGAACUGAGACACGGUCCAAACUCCUACGGGAGGCAGCAGUGGGGAAUGUUGCACAAUGGGCGAAAGCCUGAUGCAGCAACGCCGCGUGAGCGAUGAAGGCCUUCGGGUCGUAAAGCUCUGUCCUCAAGGAAGAUAAUGACGGUACUUGAGGAGGAAGCCCCGGCUAACUACGUGCCAGCCGCCGCAGUAA